GACGAACGCUGGCGGCGUGCUUAACACAUGCAAGUCGAACGGUAAGGCCCUUCGGGGUACACGAGUGGCGAACGGGCGAGUAACGCGUGAGUAACCUGCCCUUCACUCUGGGAUAACAGUCGGAAACGGCUGCUAAUACCGGAUAUUCAGCUCCUGUCGCAUGGUGGGGGUUGGAAAGUUUUGGUGGUGGAGGAUGGGCUCGCGUCCUAUCAGCUUGUUGGUGGGGUGAUGGCCUACCAAGGCGUCGACGGGUAGCCGGCCUGAGAGGGCGACCGGCCACAUUGGGACUGAGAUACGGCCCAAACUCCUACGGGAGGCAGCAGUGGGGAAUAUUGCACAAUGGGCGGAAGCCUGAUGCAGCAACGCCGCGUGCGGGAUGACGGCCUUCGGGUUGUAAACCGCUUUCAGCAGGGACGAAGCGCAAGUGACGGUACCUGCAGAAGAAGCACCGGCUAACUACGUG
rnacentral:rRNA from 1 species